rnacentral:rRNA from 1 species
UUGGGGAAUAUUGGACAAUGGGCGAAAGCCUGAUCCAGCCAUGCCGCGUGUGUGAAGAAGGUCUUCGGAUUGUAAAGCACUUUAAGUUGGGAGGAAGGGCAGUAAGUUAAUACCUUGCUGUUUUGACGUUACCGACAGAAUAAGCACCGGCUAACUCUGUGCCAGCAGCCGCGGUAAU